rnacentral:rRNA from 1 species
AUGUGUGGCAUACGGCUCAGUAACACGUAGUCAACAUGCCCAGGGGACGUGGAUAACCUCGGGAAACUGAGGACAAACCGCGAUAGGUCACUACUUCUGGAAUGGGUAAUGACCCAAACCUAUAUGGCCCCUGGAUUGGACUGCGGCCGAUCAGGCUGUUGGUGAGGUAAUGGCCCACCAAACCUGUAACCGGUACGGGCUCUGAGAGGAGGAGCCCGGAGAUGGGCACUGAGACAAGGGCCCAGGCCCUAUGGGGCGCAGCAGGCGCGAAACCUCUGCAAUAGGCGAAAGCUUGACAGGGUUACUCUGAGUGAUUUCCGUUAAGGAGAUCUUUUGGCACCUCUAAAAAUGGUGCAUAAGGGGUGGGCAAGUCUGGUGUCAGCCGCCGCGGUAAUACCAGCACCCCGAGUGGUCGGGACGUUUAUUGGGCCUAAAGCAUCCGUAGCCGGUUCUACAAGUCUUCCGUUAAAUCCACCUGCUCAACAGAUGGGCUGCGGAAGAUACUAUGGAGCUAGGAGGCGGGAGAGGCAAGCGGUACUCGAUGGGUAGGGGUAAAAUCCGUUGAUCCAUUGAAGACACCAGUGGCGAAGGCGGCUUGCCAGAACGCGCUCGACGGUGAGGGAUGAAAGCUGGGGGAGCAAACCGGAUUAGAUACCCGGGUAGUCCCAGCUGUAAACGAUGCAGACUCGGUGAUGAGUUGGCUUUAUGCCAACUCAGUGCCGCAGGGAAGCCGUUAAGUUUGCCGCCUGGGGAGUACGGUCGCAAGACUGAAACUUAAAGGAAUUGGCGGGGGAGCACCACAAGGGGUGAAGCCUGCGGUUCAAUUGGAGUCAACGCCGGA